GACGAACGCUGGCGGCGUGCUUAACACAUGCAAGUCGAGCGGUAAGGCCCUUCGGGGUACGACGAGCGGCGAACGGGUGAGUAACACGUGGGUGACCUGCCUCUAGCUCUGGGAUAAGCCUGGGAAACUGGGUCGUAAUACCGGAUAUGACUCCACGGCGCAUGUUGUGGGGUGGAAAGCCUUGUGUGGCUAGAGAUGGGCCCGCGGCCUAUCAGCUUGUUGGUGGGGUGAUGGCCUACCAAGGCGACGACGGGUAGCCGGCCUGAGAGGGCGACCGGCCACACUGGGACUGAGACACGGCCCAGACUCCUACGGGAGGCGAGCAGUGGGGAAGUACUUUGCGGCAAUGGGCGGAAAGACCUGACGCAGCGACGCCCGCGUGAGGGAUGACGGCC
rnacentral:rRNA from 1 species